rnacentral:rRNA from 1 species
AACGUAGGUGGCGAGCGUUAUCCGGAUUUACUGGGCGUAAAGGGUGUGCAGGCGGGCUGUUAAGUGGUGUGUGAAAUAUCCCGGCUCAACCGGGAGAGGUUAUGCCAGACUGGCAGUCUAGAGAGCGAGAGAGGGACGUGGAAUUCCGGGUGUAGUGGUGAAAUGCGUAGAGAUCCGGAGGAACCCCAGAGGCGAAGGCGGCGUCCUGGCUCGCAUCUGACGCUCAGACACGACAGCAGGGGGAGCGAACGGG